UAUGUGAUCGUCUCUCGCAUAUCAAUAAGCGGAGGAAAAGAAACUAACAAGGAUUCCCCUAGUAACGGCGAGUGAAGCGGGAAGAGCUCAAAUUUGAAAUCUUAAAGGGUUUCCCUUUACGAAUUGUAGUUUAAAGAAGUGUUUUCUGUUGAGGUUUUGGUAAAAGUUCUUUGGAAUAGGACAUCAUAGAGGGUGAGAAUCCCGUAUUUGACCUUUACUUUCAACUUUGUGAUACACUUUCAAAGAGUCGGAUUGUUUGGGAAUGCAGUCCAAAAUGGGUGGUAAAUUUCAUCUAAAGCUAAAUAUUGGCGAGAGACCGAUAGCGAACAAGUACCGUGAGGGAAAGAUGAAAAGAACUUUGAAAAGAGAGUUAAACAGUACGUGAAAUUGUCAAAAGGGAAGCGUUUGACACCAGUGUUGUUUUUCUGAAAAUCAAUUAAAGAACUGUUUAUGCUAAGUUGUUUAGACUUUAUCAGCUAUCUGUUUAGUUUUGAGCUUUUCUUUAAUGCACUUUUCAGUUAACAAGUCAACAUCAAUUUCUUUUGCUGUAAAAAAGCUUGAGGAAGGUGGCUUGAGAUUCGUCUUAAGUGUUUAUAGCCUCUUGCCUAUGCAGUCGGAGAGAUUGAGGUCUGCAGCGUAGAUCCUUCGGGGCUAAGUGCAUUUGUGCUAAGUUAUAGCAUUUUAUAGACAACUUGUUGACUAUGAUUUGUCUUGUAGCUUACUCGCUUAUGUUAUUUUACCUACGCUUAGGAUGUUGACGCGCGUGUGUGCGUG
rnacentral:rRNA from 1 species